rnacentral:rRNA from 1 species
GACGAACGCUGGCGGCGUGCUUAACACAUGCAAGUCGAGCGGUAAGGCCCUUUCGGGGUACGACGAGCGGCGAACGGGUGAGUAACACGUGGGUGACCUGCCCUCAGCUCUGGGAUAAGCCUGGGAAACUGGGUCUAAUACCGGAUAUGACUCCAUGACGCAUGUUGUGGGGUGGAAAGCCUUGUGCGGCUGAGGAUGGGCCCGCGGCCUAUCAGCUUGUUGGUGGGGUGAGGCCUACCAAGGCGACGACGGGUAGCCGGCCUGAGAGGGCGACCGGCCACACUGGGACUGAGACACGGCCCAGACUCCUACGGGAGGCAGCAGUGGGGAAUCUUGCGCAAUGGGCG